GUAUUUCAGAGUUGCCAGGUUUAGACAGAAUCUCUAUUCUAAAUGUCCUUGAACAAAUGAACUAGCACUCAUUUGCCAGCUGCCAUUGGUGACAGGAAUUGCAUCUGGAUUUAGGAAGUGGAAGAGGCUUCCAGAUGAAUUAUAAUCCAGUCUUAGUUGGCAACCGACUGAAGUUUGCUGAUUAGAUUUUGUACGAUGAAAUGACAGAAUCCAGAGGCCAUAGACAGAGUCAAUGGAAUCACCUUCAAGCUCCAGGUACAAGGUCUUGUUUGCGGAUGCCUCCUAAGAGUAUGAUUUACUCCACAUAUUGAACCAAUAAGGAAAGCAUAAAGUCCUGGGCUUAAAUCCUUCUUUCAGUGGAAUAAGGAAAUUAUGGAUCUCCAGGUGUUUGUUGAACCAGCACUGCAGAUUCUGCACCAGGUAGGGGAAAAAAAAUCCUUUUGGCUAUAAAAUUGUAGGUUGGUCUGCAGUUCUCUGCUUAUACCUGGCACUGGAUUUAUACCUCGGCUACAUUUUACGAAUAUAUAUCAUGUAUAGAUAAGACUUCAGGCUGAAACAAAGUUGGUAUGAAUUGCACCACUGCACACUGCUUUACAGUUGUCAGUACAGACCUCUUAAAAUAUCCGCAGCCUCUCUGCAUGUAGAAAAUGUGCCCUCUAAAUCAGGAGAGAGCUGGUAGAAGAUACUUGUGACCAGUGGUGGGUUGCCCCCAGUUCGCACCGAUUCUAUAGAACUGGUAGUAAAACCGUUGGGAGGCUCCGCCCACUGACCCUGAUGUCAUCAGAACACUUCUGCGCAUGUGUAGAAGAGCGUGCAUGCGUGUGGGCCCCAUUGCGAACCGGUAGUAAAGGAUGAAAACAUCAGAGAAAACUAGAACAAUUUUCUGGACCUGGAAACCAUAUGCAUGAAGCUCAAAAACAUGAAGAAGAAGAAGAAAGAAACAAGAGACUGCCUUUUUGACAUUCAUAACACAAUUGGAAGAAGAACCAAACUAUAGGGGCUCCAGAAUAUGACUUUGCCUAGGAUCUCAAAAUGCCUACAGCCAGCAAUGCAUCUAGUGGUCAUCUAGUUUUUUUUGCAACCCAAAAGCUCCACCAUCAGCCCCCACUGAUGCCAUCUCACCCUGGGAGUGCCUUGUGGUAACAUGGCUUCCUCACAUGUAGCCACUAGCCCUUUAAUUGAUGACUAACUUUGAGGUGAGGUCCCAGACAAUAACAGUGACAAUAACAGUUUCUUCUUCUUCUUCUUCUUCUUCUUCUUCUUCUUCUUCUUCUUCUUCUUCUUCUUCUUCUUCUUCUUCUUCUUCUUCUUCUUCUUCUUCUUCUUCUUCUUCUUCUUCUUUCUUCUUUUUCUUCUUUUUUCUUUUUUUCUUUUUUUCUCCUCCUCCUCCUCCUCCUCCUCCUCCUCCUCCUCCUCCUCCUCCUCCUCUUCCUUCUCCUCCUCCUCCUUCUUCUCCCUCUCCUCCUUCUUCUUCAGAAGAUAUAGAACAAUUAAAACUCUAAUCACAUGUUUUCUGAAUAGUUUUAAUCCCAGAGCUAUAAUUGCACCCAAUAAUGAACUAAAGGGCCACCAUCAGUGAGCUGUUGGACACCAUUAUUUGAUCUGUUGUGUGGAUGUUUGAGUGGUUCAGGGGUGGGCAAUUUGUGGUGGUGGAGGUAUUUGGGGAUUGUUAUGUAUGUUGGGCAUGGUCUUUGGGUAUUAUGUGAAUUUUGUUGUAUGGGUAUACUGUGUAUAUACGUACAAUGACAAUAAAGUUUUUUGUUUGUUUG